UACAGAGGGUGCGAGCGUUGUCCGGAAUCACUGGGCGUAAAGGGCGCGUAGGCGGCUUUUCAAGCGUGCGGUGAAAGCUCGGGGCUUAACUCCGAGUCUGCCGUGCGAACUGGGAGGCUUGAGUCUGGUAGAGGUCGAUGGAAUUCCGGGUGUAGCGGUGGAAUGCGUAGAGAUCCGGAAGAACACCGGUGGCGAAGGCGGUCGACUGGGCCAGUACUGACGAUCAGGCUCGAAAGCGUGGGGAGCAAACAGG
rnacentral:rRNA from 1 species